GAUGAAGAACGUAGCGAAAUGCGAUAAGUAAUGUGAAUUGCAGAAUUCAGUGAAUCAUCGAAUCUUUGAACGCACAUUGCGCCCGCCAGUAUUCUGGCGGGCAUGCCUGACCGAGCGUCAUUUCAACCCUCGAACCCCUCCGGGGGGUCGGCGUUGGGGACCUCGGGAGCCCCUAAGACGGGAUCCCGGCCCCGAAAUACAGUGGCGGUCUCGCCGCAGCCUCUCCUGCGCAGUAGUUUGCACAACUCGCACCGGGAGCGCGGCGCGUCCACGUCCGUAAAACACCCAACUUCUGAAAUGUUGACCUCGGAUCAGGUAGGAAUACCCGCUGAACUUAAGCAUAUCAAUAAGCGGAGGA
rnacentral:misc_RNA from 1 species